UCUGUUAUAUAAUACCGGUAAUGUCCUUUAUGGUCAUUUUGUCACACAAAAGUACUUUCUCAAUUUAUUUACCAAACACAUAUUAAAGUGCCACAGCACUUUAGAAAUGUAGUUACCAAACAGCAAACAAGUUUUUAUAAACGCUUUGCUUCAAACAGCUAUACUUCCAAAAGCUCUACUACUAACAGCUCCCCCAAACAAGGCCUAAAAAUCCUAUCACAUCUCCGAAUGUGAGGCCAGCACAUAGCAUGUAUUAUAUUUAAAAACAAAUCAACAUGAAACAACAUGCAGGGAAGCACUGACCAUAAUACACAAAUAAAUCAUCGAGAGUUCAGAAGCCUUGCAUUAAAUACUCACAAGAGUUAGGCACAUCUCGCACUGCCAAAGCACAUAGGCCUUGUUUGGGGGAGCUUUUGGAGGGCCCUCCAAAAGUACUUUUAGAUAAAAAAUGGUGUUUGGUAAAAUUUUCG
rnacentral:lncRNA from 1 species